CGCGCCCCGGUCAGGCGGGGCGACCCGCUGAAUUUUAGCAUGUUCAUUAGCGGAAGGAAAAAAACCUACGAAGGAUCCCCCUAGUAACGGCGAGCGACGGGGAAAAUUCUAA
rnacentral:rRNA from 1 species